rnacentral:rRNA from 1 species
GACGAACGCUGGCGGCGUGCUUAACACAUGCAAGUCGAACGGAAAGGCCCUGCUUUUGUGGGGUGCUCGAGUGGCGAACGGGUGAGUAACACGUGAGUAACCUGCCCUUGACUUUGGGAUAACUUCAGGAAACUGGGGCUAAUACCGGAUAGGAGCUCCUGCUGCAUGGUGGGGGUUGGAAAGUUUCGGCGGUUGGGGAUGGACUCGCGGCUUAUCAGCUUGUUGGUGGGGUAGUGGCUUACCAAGGCUUUGACGGGUAGCCGGCCUGAGAGGGUGACCGGGCACAUUGGGACUGAGGUACGGACCAGACUCCUACGGGAGGCAGCAGUGGGAAAUAUUGCACAAUGGGCGGAAGCCUGAUGCAGCGACGCCGUGUGCGUGAUGGCGGCCUUCGGGUUGUAAACCGCUUUCGCCUGUGACGAAGCGUGAGUGACGGUAAUGGGUAAAGAAGCACCGGCUAACUACGUG